CCCAGACCAUGAGCAAACAGAAGAUGCAUA
rnacentral:piRNA from 1 species